rnacentral:rRNA from 1 species
UACGUAGGGUGCGAGCGUUGUCCGGAAUUAUUGGGCGUAAAGAGCUCGUAGGCGGUGUGUCACGUCGGCCGUGAAAACCUGGGGCUUAACUCUGGGCGUGCGGUCGAUACGGGCAUCACUAGAGUUCGGCAGGGGAGACUGGAAUUCCUGGUGUAGCGGUGAAAUGCGCAGAUACCAGGAGGAACACCGGUGGCGAAGGCGGCUGCCUGGCCUAUUACUGACGCUGAGGCGCGAAAGCGUGGGGAGCAAACGGG